UACGUAGGGGGCGAGCGUUGUCCGGAUUUAUUGGGCGUAAAGAGCUCGUAGGCGGUUUGGCAAGUCGGGUGUGAAAACUCCGGGCUCAACUCGGAGACGCCACUCGAUACUGCCAUGACUCGAGUCUGGUAGGGGAGUGCGGAAUUCCUGGUGUAGCGGUGAAAUGCGCAGAUAUCAGGAGGAACACCGGUGGCGAAGGCGGUUCUCUGGGCCUGUACUGACGCUGAGGAACGAAAGCGUGGGGAGCGAACAGG
rnacentral:rRNA from 1 species